rnacentral:rRNA from 1 species
CCUAAUACAUGCAAGUCGAGCGAACAGACGAGGAGCUUGCUCCUCUGACGUUAGCGGCGGACGGGUGAGUAACACGUGGAUAACCUACCUAUAAGACUGGGAUAACUUCGGGAAACCGGAGCUAAUACCGGAUAAUAUAUUGAACCGCAUGGUUCAAUAGUGAAAGACGGUUUUGCUGUCACUUAUAGAUGGAUCCGCGCCGCAUUAGCUAGUUGGUAAGGUAACGGCUUACCAAGGCAACGAUGCGUAGCCGACCUGAGAGGGUGAUCGGCCACACUGGAACUGAGACACGGUCCAGACUCCUACGGGAGGCAGCAGUAGGGAAUCUUCCGCAAUGGGCGAAAGCCUGACGGAGCAACGCCGCGUGAGUGAUGAAGGUCUUCGGAUCGUAAAACUCUGUUCAUUAGGGAAGAACAACAUGUGUAAGUAACUAUGCACGUCUUGACGGUACCUAAUCAGAAAGCCACGGCUAACUACUGUGCCAGCAGCCGCGGUAAUACGUAUGUUGGCAAGCGUUAUCCGGAAUUAUUGGGCGUAAAGCGCGCGUAGGCGGUUUUUUAAGUCUGAUGUGUAAGCCCACGGCUCAACCGUGGAGGGUCAUUGGAAACUGGAAAACUUGAGCGCAGAAGAGGAAAGUGGAAUUCCAUGUGUAGCGGUGAAAUGCGCAGAGAUAUGGAGGAACACCAGUGGCGAAGGCGACUUUCUGGUCUGUAACUGACGCUGAUGUGCGAAAGCGUGGGGAUCAAACAGGAUUAGAUACCCUGGUAGUCCACGCCGUAAACGAUGAGUGCUAAGUGUUAGGGGGUUUCCGCCCCUUAGUGCUGCAGCUAUACGCAUUAAGCACUCCGCCUGGGGAGUACGACCGCAAGGUUG